rnacentral:rRNA from 1 species
UACGGAGGGGGCUAGCGUUGUUCGGAAUCACUGGGCGUAAAGCGCACGUAGGCGGAUUGUUAAGUCAGGGGUGAAAUCCUGGAGCUCAACUCCAGAACUGCCUUUGAUACUGGCGAUCUCGAGUCCGGGAGAGGUGAGUGGAACUGCGAGUGUAGAGGUGAAAUUCGUAGAUAUUAGGAAGAACACCGGUGGCGAAGGCGGCCCACUGGAUCGGUACUGACGCUGAGGUGCGAAAGCGUGGGUAGCAAACAGG